rnacentral:rRNA from 1 species
UACAGGGGGGGCAAGCGUUGUUCGGAAUUACUGGGCGUAAAGGGCUCGUAGGUGGCCCACUAAGUCGGACGUGAAAUCCCUCAGCUUAACUGGGGAACUGCAUCCGAUACUGGAUGGCUUGAGUUUGGGAGAGGGAUGCGGAAUUCCAGGUGUAGCGGUGAAAUGCGUAGAUAUCUGGAGGAACACCGGUGGCGAAGGCGGCAUCCUGGACCAACACUGACACUGAGGAGCGAAAGCCAGGGGAGCAAACGGG